AGCGCAGACGGUUAUUUAAGCAAGAUGUGAAAGCCCCGGGCUCAACCUGGGAACUGCGUUUUGAACUGGGUAACUAGAGUGUGUCAGAGGGGGGUAGAAUUCCACGUGUAGCAGUGAAAUGCGUAGAGAUGUGGAGGAAUACCGAUGGCGAAGGCAGCCCCCUGGGAUAACACUGACGUUCAUGCUCGAAAGCGUGGGUAAGCAAACA
rnacentral:rRNA from 1 species